rnacentral:rRNA from 1 species
AACGAACGCUGGCGGCAUGCCUAACACAUGCAAGUCGAACGAGACCUUCGGGUCUUUUGUCGCACGGUUUCGUAACGCGUGGGAACCUUCCCUUAUGGUCGGAAUAACUCUCCGAAAGGGGUGCUAAUACCGGAUAAUAUCUUCUGACCAAAGAUAUAUUGAAUUUGGAUGGGCGCGCGUGGGAUUAGCUAGUUGGUAGGGUAAAAGCUUACCAAGGCGUCGAUCCAUAACUGGUUUGUGAGGCUGGUCAGCCACACUGGGAGUGAGACACGGCCCAGACUCUUACGGGAGGGAGCAGUGGGGAAUAGUGGAACACGGGGGAAGGGAUGAAGGAGCUAUGACGGGUGAGUGAUGAAGGCCGUAGAGUAGUAAUGCUCUUUUAACCGGGCUGAUAAUGACGGUACCGGGAGAAUAAGCCCCGGCUAACUCCGUG